AGGACGAACGCUUGCGACGUGCCUAAGAAAUGCAAGUCGAACGAGGCAGCAAUGCCGAGUGGCGAACGGUCGCGUAACACGUGGGCAACCUGCCCUGAAGCGGGGGACAACAACUUGAAAGAGUUGCUAAUACCGCAUGUGAAUCGUGGUGGCAUCACCGAGGAUUCAAAGCCGCAAGGCACUUCAGGAUGGGCCCGCGGCCUAUCAGCUAGUUGGUGAGGUAACGGCCCACCAAGGCUUCGACGGGUAGCUGGUCUGAGAGGACGAUCAGCCGGAUUGGGACUGAGAUACGGCCCAGACUCCUACGGGGGGCAGCAAUUAGGAAUCUUGCGCAAUGGGCGAAAGCCUGACGCAGCGACGUCGCGUGAAGGAUGAAAUCUUUCGGGAUGUAAACUUCUUUUAUCAGCCAUGAAAAAAAUGACAGUAGCUGAUGAAUAAGCCCGGCUAACUACGUGCCAGCAGCC
rnacentral:rRNA from 1 species